UACGUAGGUGGCAAGCGUUGUCCGGAUUUAUUGGGUUUAAAGGGUGCGUAGGCGGCCCUGUAAGUCAGUGCUGAAAUAUCCCGGCUUAACCGGGAGGGUGGCAUUGAUACUGCAGGGCUUGAGUGAAGUCGAGGUAGGCGGAAUUGACGGUGUAGCGGUGAAAAUGCUUAGAUAUCAGGAGGAACACCAAUAGCGAAGGCAGCUCGCUGGGACGGUAUUGACGCUAAGGCGCGAAAGCGUGGGGAGCAAACAGGG
rnacentral:rRNA from 1 species